rnacentral:rRNA from 1 species
AGAGUUUGAUCCUGGCUCAGAACGAACGCUGGCGGCACGCUUAACACAUGCAAGUCGAACGAAAUUAUGGGGCUUGCUCCAUAAUUUAGUGGCGCACGGGUGAGUAACACGUGGCUACCUGCCUAUUGAUGGUGGAUAACUCUGGGAAACCGGAGCUAAUACAGCAUAAGCUCGAGAGAGGAAAGGCCGAAAGGUCGUCGAUAGAGGGAGCUGCGUCUGAUUAGGUUGUUGGUGAGGUAAUGGCUCACCAAGCCGAUGAUCAGUAGCUGGUCUGAGAGGAUGGUCAGCCACACUGGAACUGAGAUACGGUCCAGACUCCUACGGGAGGCAGCAGUGGGGAAUAUUGGACAAUGGGGGAAACCCUGAUCCAGCGAUGCCGCGUGAGUGAUGAAGGCCUUAGGGUUGUAAAGCUCUUUUGACAGGGACGAUGAUGACGGUGCCUGUAGAAUAAGCACCGGCUAACUCUGUGCCAGCAGCCGCGGUAAUACAGAGGUGGCAAGCGUUAAUCGGAAUUACUGGGCGUAAAGGGUCCGCAGGUGGUUUUGUGUGUCGGGUGUGAAAUGCCACAGCUCAACUGUGGAAUUGCACUCGANACUGCAAAACUAGAGUUCUGNAGGGGAGAAAGGGAACAGUUGGUGUAGCGGUGAAAUGCGUAGAUAUCAACUGGAACACCGGGAAGCGAAGGCGCUUCUCUGGACAGAUACUGACACUCAUGGACGAAAGCUAANGUAGCGAAAGGGAUUAGAUACCCCUGUAGUCUUAGCCGUAAACGGUGUGCACUUGUUGUUGGUGGAUUAACCCCCAUCAGUGACAAAGCUAACGCGAUAAGUGCACCGCCUGGGGAGUACGGUCGCAAGAUUAAAACUCAAAGGAAUUGACGGGGGCCCGCACAAGCGGUGGAGCAUGUGGCUUAAUUCGAUGCAACGCGAAGAACCUUACCUGGACUUGACAUGGCGACCCUUCGGGGGCAGAUGUGAAAGCAUCUUUACGCACACAGGUGCUGCAUGGCUGUCGUCAGCUCGUGCCGUGAGGUGUUGGGUUAAGUCCCGCAACGAGCGCAACCCUCGUGUUUAGUUGCCAGCAGGUUAAGCUGGGCUCUCUAAACAGACUGCCUGUGAUAAGCAGGAGGAAGGUGGGGAUGACGUCAAGUCAGUAUGGUCCUUAUGUCCAGGGCUGCACACGUGCUACAAUGGUCGGUACAGAAGGAAGCAAGACCGCGAGGUGGAGCUAAUCCCCAAAGCCGACCCCAGUUCGGAUUGUAGUCUGCAACUCGACUACAUGAAGUCGGAAUCGCUAGUAAAGGCGCAUCAGCUACGGCGCCUUGAAUACGUUCCCGGGCCUUGUACACACCGCCCGUCACAUCACGAAAGUCGUCUGCACCCGAAGUCGCUGAUCUAACCAUUUAUGGAGGAAGGCGCCGAAGGUGUGGGGGAUGAUUGGGAUGAAGUCGUAACAAGGUAGCCGUAA